UUCUUUAGUGGAAUUGUCCUAAGAAGUAAAUAAGAUCUUAGAAGAGUCUUAUGAUAUUAGUUCUUAAACUAUUUGAUUCCCCACCUACCAUGCUCGACAUCUAGCAUGUUAAAGGUUUAGAGCAACAUGCUCCUCACCCCUUCAUGUUAGACAUUCAGCACGUCAUAAGUUUCAAAUAGUGUUUGUUCCACUCAGAACCCUCAGUCAUAUAGUGUUGUUCAUGGUUAUGAACCUAGAAAACAUGCAGAUCUUCUUUCUAUGUUUCCCCAUUCUAAAAUAUUUGCUUCCUUUGAGUCUUUUGCAUAUAGAAUUCAUAAUUUACAUGUUGAGAUCAUAAAACAUAUUCAAGUAAGUAAUGAACAAUACAAUUUUCGAAUUGAUUUACAUAAGUAUCAUGAUGCACUUAAUAUUGGAGAGUAUUUCUUGAUACAGAUUAGACCUGAAAUCUCAACAGCAUAUCCCUAAUGAUCCUUUUGAAAUCUCUGCCCUAUUAUCCUUAUCUUUGGCAUAAAACAAAUAUAUUAAUGCUACUUUGAAUAUACAAGUUUUUACCAGGGAAGGUGAACUUCAGUGAAUCCUAUUAUAUAAGCUAAACAACCAGAUUCAGUCUAUACUUGAAUUAUCAGAGAAACAUCACAACAGCUUAAUCAUGAUCUUUGGGAGUAUUAUUAGAGCCGCCUUGAACUACACUUGACAAGGUUUAGCUUCUCCAACCCCUAGAGAGUUGGUGAAGACACUAGACCCAAGACAUUGUUUACACACUCAUAUGAUCAUAAAUGAUGAAGAGUUGUCCAAACCAUUGAGAGAUUGAGCUUUAACUUAUGUUUUAGUUUAAUUUAUUUGAACUUUUAGUAAAGGUUUAUUAAUUAGGUUUUAUUUGUUGGACUUGAUUUAAUUAUUAGUUGGUUAUAAGCCUAAUUGUUCGUUCUAAUUAGGAUUUUAAUAUUUAUAUCCUAUUUUUCUUUAGAUAUUUUUUGAAAAAUUAAAUAAAAAUUGCAGAGUUAAAUACUUUGCCAAUGCUUAUUCUUCUCUUCUUCAGUUUUUUCUUUUCUUCUUCAGCUUCUUCUUCUUAGCUUCUUCUUUUCCUUCUUAUUGGGUUUAAAUCUCUUUUUGUCCCGCAUCAGACUGUGUAAGGUACUUUAGAUCAGCUAAUAAUUGCUGGUUCAUAUCCAUUCAUAUCUGGACUCAGCUCCAACUUGUUCAUGCAUUAUACAAUAUCAAAGUGAACUAAGCUGACUUGCUAACACUAUGCCAAUCCUUUGCAAAAAUACAUUCUACAG